UACGGAGGGGGCUAGCGUUGUUCGGAAUUACUGGGCGUAAAGCGUACGUAGGCGGCCUUGUAAGUUAGAGGUGAAAGCCCGGGGCUCAACUCCGGAAUUGCCUUUAAGACUGCAUCGCUUGAAUCAUGGAGAGGUGAGUGGAAUUCCGAGUGUAGAGGUGAAAUUCGUAGAUAUUCGGAAGAACACCAGUGGCGAAGGCGACUCACUGGACAUGUAUUGACGCUGAGGCGCGAAAGCGUGGGGAGCAAACAGG
rnacentral:rRNA from 1 species